AUGCCCAACCUAUUCGCUUUGUGUCUGGUCAUUACUUCUUUAUCUGCAGCGGGACUCUGGUCUCCUUCCCCGGCGUCCCGGCCAGAUCAGGAGCAGGAUGUUAUCGUUAAAGAAGGUCACCGAGUGGUUGUGGUCGAGUAUGGCGACCAAGGACAACAGAAUACUAAGGUUUCCAUCUCUUCCGAACCCACCAAAGACGCCGAAACGCACCGCACCAGAGAUCUUAUUUGCGAUGCCUUGGGCAAAUGUAAGCAUAAGAUAGCCAGUGCUGUGGGAAAGGCUAAAGUAAUGGUUUCGGAGACGGCGCAGGAGGCCCACAACGUCGGAGAAAGGGCAUCGUUAAAGGAUAUGAAUCAAUAAAGCGACAUGAAAUACGGAAACCAUUCUACUAAAGAUUGAUGUUUAGCAAGUCUACCAAAAAGAAGUUUCCUUCAAACCUGGAGACGAAAAUAAGUGGAAUAACUGGAAUUACAUCAUCAUCAUGGACCAGUUAAAAGGAAUCAGCACAUGCAAUUUGCAAACUUCGUGAAGUUCUGGGCGAGUCCAUUUCAUCUUAUCAUCAAGUCCUCCAAUCAUAUAUGGGAGAUGCUGCCUUGCCCAAUGCCAUUGUAAACCAGGUAUCUUCUUCCUGCACCAAGAAAGUAAAGAAAUUCCGAGAAGCCGGGU